GAUUCCAGGCCAUAUCUCAGAUGCUGCUGACUGAAUGAGGAAGUCUGGGAAUAAUGAACAGAGGCUUCUGAAACUCACAAAUCCCAUGAUACAGUGAUUUGGCCCCUGUGGUUUCAAGUAUUUAUUGUAGGGGAAGGAAAGGGACCAGUCAUUCUAUUGUCUAUGGGGCUAUAAGAGUAACUGCUGGGAGGUAACUGGAACCUUGGGCUCCCUACAUUCUUUCUACCCUGCCUUACUGAUGGCUGAGUCUCCACAUUCUCCACUCUGCCUCUACCCCCCUCCUCAUGACUUCUAGGAAGCAGGUUAUUGAUAGGAGGUAGCAACUUCUGAAUUCCACUGCACCCUGGGGGGAACUAGCCUGCGUCAGCGAGAUUUCAGAGCCUGGCAUAUAGUCCCUCUCCUGUUACACCUGGGUUCAUCAGGAAGUCAGUUCCAAGUAUAUAGUGAGGUGAGUGGGGGCCACGUGUCCAACCCUGGGCUCUGGACAUAGUGUUCACUUCCUAAUCCUGAUGAUCAGUGGAGCGGUUCCCCCAGAGGCAGGGAACAUUUUCUCAGACUUUGAUUAACCCCUGCAUAGCUGGUGUCAGAUCUGUCAAUGAGUCAUCCAGAAUCACUGGUGGUGGUGGGGGAACGUGUGUGGAAUUAGACAACAAAGAUAGUUGCUGUUCAAAAACUGAGAAACUGAGGCCUGUCAUUCCCUCUAACUUUUCUUUCUCUGGCUGUUUAAAGGCCAAGAAAUGGAAGCCUGGAGAGGCAAAAUGGGGCCUCUUAGCUCUCCCUAGCUGAAGUCCUUUCAUUAGCCAGGUAGCACCAGAUGUGUGUGAAACAAACUCAGCUAUUCGGAAGCCUAAUUAAGCACAAACCAUCAAAUGAAAGCACUUUCAGCCCUUGGCAUCUGGUGUUUUCUUGUGACUAGGGGACCUGUAUCUUCCUGGCUUUCCCUCCUAGAAGACUUUCCUAACUUGUCAAACACAGAUCUAAUCAAACCUUCAGGGAUAGCAACACCAAGCUAAUUAGGGGAGGGGUAGUAUAAGGGAAGCUGAAGGUAUCUGUGCUGGAGAGAAGGCCUUAAGGUAUCAGGCUACAUCAUUCUGGAAGAACAAGAGUCAGUAGGGGCAGGAUUUAAUUUGGUUGAAUAAAAAAAGCCAAUGGCAAGGAUGAGGAGGAAGAAAGGAGGGUCAAACCAUUCACCAAGGAACUCCUAGGACAGUCCCUGGUGUCCUCACUUGCCUUGUUUAGAGUAACCCCUGGCUUACUUCUGGUCAGUAUUUAAGUCCAAAGUCCCAUCCAAGAGGGUGGGAGCAAAGCCAUGUGAUCAUCUUUAUCACCUGGGUUGUACCUGCCACUGAGCAUCUGGAGACCAAGGCCUCAGAACUGAGUCAGUCGUCCCAGAUAUACCUAUGCUUGGGCUUCCAGAUCCUGACUCCAGAGGCAGAGGCACAGAAGUUAGGAUGCCCUAUCUGACUUCCUUCCAGUUAUUGAAGUUCCAUUGGCAGCUAAGGGAUGUGGAUAGAAUGCUGGGCCUGGAGUCAGGAAGACACGUUUAAAACUGGCCUCUGGACAAGUCACUUAACCUCUCUGCUUCAAUUUCUUCAACUGUAAAAAGGAAUGAUAAAAGCAUCUGCUUCCUCAAGGUUGUUGUUAGGAUUAAAUAAUUUUUAAAAUA